UACGUAGGGGGCAAGCGUUGUCCGGAUUUAUUGGGCGUAAAGAGCGUGUAGGCGGCCAAACAGGUCAGCUGUGAAAACUCGAGGCUCAACCUCGAGACGUCGGUUGAAACCGUUUGGCUAGAGUCCGGAAGAGGAGAGUGGAAUUCCCGGUGUAGCGGUGAAAUGCGCAGAUAUCGGGAAGAACACCGAUGGCGAAGGCAGUUCUCUGGGCCGUAACUGACGCUGAGGAGCGAAAGCGUGGGGAGCGAACAGG
rnacentral:rRNA from 1 species